GGGGUGUGCUCAGAGCAGGGGGCCUGAAGAAGUGGCUCCUCUGUUUACAACACACCCAACAGGAACCUGGGUUCAUUGUGACAAGGGACUCAAAAACUCUUGGCCUUUCUAUGAACAAAUACCCAACAUGU
rnacentral:snoRNA from 1 species